rnacentral:lncRNA from 1 species
UGUCAGGGCCUAGAGCAACCCAAACCCAUUUCAGCAAUAGAGCCCUAAUACAUGUUAUCAAAAUAGUACAGGCACAAAACAUAAGGCACAGCACAAUCGCCACUAGGAGGAGAACUUGGAAGAGUACCCCAUGGGCCUAACGUAUCAUAGAACCAUGACAAUGCUGAACUACCCACACUAUCUGAAGGGGCAAAUUAAUGAGAUAACUCCUCCAAGCCAUUCAUUAAUGCUGUUAAAUUAUCAUGCGGAUCUGGCAGCAGAGUACAGCAUAUAACACCUGUCAGUUUUAAAGCGCCACAUACAGUGGUUCCUCCUUUAAAAGUUGCAAGCUUACACCGCUGGACUUAGAGGUACACAGCGUCAUGGCUUUAUUGCUCCAGACCACCACAAGUGGGAGUUAGAGCACUCAUUAUGCAUUUGGGUCCCAAGGUUUUUAUAUGACCAAUCAUAUAGAGUGUUUCCAAUGACGAAUUUGAAGCGAGCCACCCGUCCCUGGUGACUUUCUUCAGCAAACAUGGCUGACAAAACAUUAUGGUGGAAGCCAAUGUAAGUAAUUAUAACGUUAUAACGAGUCUAUAAAAACAUGUACAAUUGAGAGGUAUAUGUUAGUUCAUGUAGAGACAAAAGAUUGUGCAUAUGUUUUUGUCAUAGAGUUAACCUCUAGUAACUCCCCAUCCCGGGUCCGUGGGCGUAAUCAUCGACUGACACUAAUUAGCAUAACGCAACGGACAUAAAUAUUCCUAGGAAAUAUUCCUAUUCAUGAAAAUCACAAGUGAAAUAUAUUGAGACACAGCUUAGCCUUUUGUUAAUCACCCUGUCAUCUCAGAUUUUCAAAAUAUGCUUUACAGCCAAAGCUAGUGUCAUGCCCUGGUCUUUAUAUUUUGUGUUUUCUUUAUUAUUUUGGUCAGGUGUGUGGUGUGUUUUGUCUUGGGGUUUUCGUAGGUAUUGGGAUUGUGUUUUGUCUUGGGGUUUUCGUAGGUAUUGGGAUUGUGGUUUAGUGGGGUUCUCUAGCAAAGUCUAUGGCUGUCUGAAUUGGUUCUCAAUCAGAGGCAGGUGAUUAUCGUUGUCUCUGAUUGGGAACCAUAUUUAGGCAGCCAUAUUCUUUGAGUGUUUCGUGGGUGAUUGUUCCUGUCUCUGUUUGCACCAGAUAGGCUGUAUAGGUUUUCACGUUACGUUUGUUGUUUUUGUAUUGUUCGUUUUUUCAUCAUUAUUAAACAUCUAUGAAAAUUACCACGCUGCAUUUUGGUCCGACUCUCCUUCACCGCAAGAAAACCGUAACAGCUAGACAUGCAUUUGUGUAAGUUUAUCGAUAGCCUAGCAUAGCAUUUUGUCCAGCUAGCAGCAGGUAACUUGGUCACGGAAAUCAGAAAAGCAAUCAAGUUAAAUCGUUUACCUUUGAUGAGCUUUGGAUGUUUUCACUCACGAGACUCCCAGUUAGAUUAUUUUUGUAGGCAAAAUAGCUCCCGUUUGUUCAUCAUGCUUAGGUGAGAAAUCGACCGGAAAAUGCUACCACUACAACGCCAAACUUUUUUCCAAA